UAUAGAAACUGCAGACCACUGGACCGUCUCUCACGAACUGGUCAAACUCCUCCUGGGCUUUCCUAGACAGGGGUGGGGACAGACUCACAGGGCUGAGCUGAGGACAGAGCCCCACCAGGCGCUGUCAGGGCGGUUUCCCGACCACACGUCCCUGUCCAAAAACAACCGCACAGCAAAUGUGGCUAUGCCAAGUCCUUCAGGUAUCAGUUAAAUCUCCUCCUCUUCUGUAUGAAUUUGUAUUAUUUAUAAGACACUUGACACACGUUUAAACACUUACAUUACUCCUGCGACUCAGGAAAUAGAGCUUGUUCAGCUGAGGGAAAAAAAGCAUGUAAUGAGGGAGUUAACAAGGACUGAUAUUUUUUUACAACAUUCUUUAAAAACUGAAAAACCUCUUUAAACACCAGGAACAGCUUAAAUAAUUCACUGUAGGCCUAAGGGGCCCCUGUGGACGUUUCCCCCGCGGGUCCCUUUCUGGCCUCGGCCUCCCCGACUGUCAUCCGCCAAGGUGGGCCCGGAGGGCGACGGGCUCCAGGCCUCGGUCUCAGCGGUCCUCCGGCUUCCGGGACCCACAGGGGCCCUGGGCUGGGUGGGGGCCAGCCGGACCUGGGGAGGCCGGACCCCGGAAGUGGGUAGAGGCGGGCCGUGCCUUUUGACCCCUGGGUGCGCGGAAAGUCGGUAGCAGGCGGAAGUGCGGCCCUCGAGGCGGUCGCGGCCUGUCGGGGCUUGGAGCGAAUGGCUCCAAGGCCGCAGGCUGGGCCUGGGCCGCAGCCGUGGGAAGCCGACGAUGCCUGAGGCGCUCUGUCCUCGGCCCACCCUAGGAACUUGUAUGACCGCAGGAAAGGAUCAGGAGAGGCCGCUGCCCGUCUCCCACCGGCUCUAGGCUCCCUCGGCCGACCGAUGUGGGGAAGGGGAAGGGGCCCGCGCCGAGGCUCUAGGGGAGGCUCCUAGGCCGGGUUCUCUGACUUAAGGCCCUCUUGGCUGUGGUUUUGCGGGAGUGAGUUGAGGGAGCUGCAUUCACUCAAGUCCCUCACAUGCCCGAGGGCCCGGGAAUCGUGAAGCCGGGCCUGCGGACCCGGUGGGAGGAAGGAGUGCGAAGCGCGGCCGCCGUGCUCGGCCGGCGCCGGGCUAGGUCGGGCGGUGGGGACCGCGCCGGCAUAGGACAACGCGGUGGAGGGAAGCACCUGCCCCCGCCCACCUUGACUCAGGGCCGCCGCGCCCCUCCUGGGCCAUCCGCGCGGGGGUCUCAGGAUGGCGAAACCCGGGACCUCGCGGCCCUCUAGUGCUCCCCUGCCAGGGUGCGACCUAGGUACCCUUUAUCGAGCCCCACUCCCCAAGGCAGAGAGAGUUCGACGUUCCCAAGGAGGGAGUCUCCAUGGAGGAAUUCGUCCUGCUUCACUUCCAGAGUUGAAAGCCCGUCGGUUCUGCAAAGAGGAGCAGUCGGGCGCGGGCUAGCAAGCAGCUGAUGAAAAUAAUUGUCCUCGCACACACAGCCCUGCGCCCAGGGGCGCGCGCGCGCACACACACACACACACACACACACACACACACACACACAACUUGCCUCCUCUAGCCGCCCAACCUUAAUAUUCCGGGCAUGCAGUUUUCAACAACUUGCCUGACACAAUAACAAAGACAUUUAAAUGCCAGGACGCAGACUUCACUUUUUAACCUGCUGAGAGGAGCUACUUUCAAAGCUUCCCCACCGCGAAUAAACUGACAAAAAAUAUGGGGUGCACUUAUAAAUUAAACACCUUACCCUCAAAGCAAUAUACGUUAAUCAGGUUUCUAAGGCAAUAGCCAUCUCUGUCUUUUCCUAUUCACCCAAAUAAUGCCCCCAGAAGGAACCCCUUUACACAAGAGAGAACUGGAAAAAAAAUGAAUUAUACCCAUUGCUAGUAAAAAAUCAUCUUAAAUCAAUAGAGCACCACUUGAACUUGAGUUUCUAUUGUUUCACUGAAUCAUCAAUGUUUUUAAUUAAACAGAGCUACCCUUUCUGUUAAAACAUUACAUAAAAGGGUUAGGUUUCUACUUUUGUUGAGGCAGCUGGCGUUUGUUGGCUGUUGUGUUUGAGCAACAGACUGUUCAAUGGAAGCGAGAAAUAGCUCAACGCGCUCUUAAUAGACCUGUUUCAACAAUGUAUCUUGAAAAGGAAUACAUUGUGUUAUUGUGUUAGUUUGCUACAAACCUAUUAAAAGAAAAAUAGCAUCCAUCAGGUCUAACAAGACGCAUUUGUAUUAUACGUACUUAUCUGCUUCAAAUACACUUCUUGGCACAAUGUCUAGAAUUCAACUAGAUCAUCAGGAGCUGGGCAGAAGAACGCAUACCAGUUAGGUAAUGAUACACGGGCUAAAAAUAAUAAUAAAGGAAGGACUAAGCAGACGGUAAUUGCUACUUUUUUGUGUAUCAUGAGAAAUAACAGGCAACCCUACUUCAAUUAAAAAUAUAUUGCAAAAGUGUGGACUCCUACGACAAAAACAAUUUAAAAAAUAUUUGUAGCAUGGGAAUAUUGAUCCAUAUCCCAUAUUUGGAACGAAUCUGAUACACUUUCGAUAGGAAUUUGUUUCAGAGAAGGAUUCAGGGCAGAAGCGAUGCAUUUUUAAAGCAGAAUUAAAACAGCGCAAAGAGCCCGGCUCUUUAGGGAAAUGCGCGAAACAAACAAAUCGAAAGCAAGCGUUCCAGCCAAGUGGUUGGGGAGCACCGUUGUCUGGCACUAGGAAAGGAAGUGCUUCUUGAAAGUGUUCUCUUAAAAAUGAUUUUCCAGACUUAUUUUAUUGCAUUUUAAUCACAAAGUGAAACUUAAAGCAAAGAAACAGGACAUUCCCGCUACCGAACAGAACCUAUCGUCUAUUGCAGGAAUGACUGCUACUUGGACCACAGACCUUUAGAAAAAACAGAGAGGCAAAUGAUUAGGCUAAUUUAACGCGGAGAUCUGCUUAGCAGAAAAGACACCCAAAGUAGCAUCUGUCAGAGGAAAACAUCUUUUGCUUCCACACAAGGCACUCGAUUUGGUUUCCAACCUUGAGUCCUCAACAUUCAACUUUCAAGUGCAACAAUGUUGGAGGCACAAGAGAAUAGUAGAUUACCUACAAGUGAACACAAUUGUACGGAAAAGAGACUUACAUAAGUUACAAUGGCA
rnacentral:lncRNA from 10 species